rnacentral:tRNA from 1 species
GGUGAUAUACUUUAAGUAAAAGGUAUAGUUUGCACCUAUAAAAUAGAAUAUAAAAUUCUUUUCACCA